rnacentral:tRNA from 1 species
AGCCCUGUAGUCUAGUGGUCAAGGACGCGGGACUUUGGAUCCUGCAACCCCGGUUCGAAUCCGGGCAGGGCUA